GAUGAACGCUGGCGGCGUGCCUAAUACAUGCAAGUCGAGCGAACGGACGCGACGCUUGCUUUUCUGAUGUUAGCGGCGGACGGGUGAGUAACACGUGGAUCACCUCCCUAUCAGACUGGGAUAACUUCGGGAAACCGGAGCUAAUCCCGGAUAAUAUUUUGAACCGCAUGGUUCAAAAGUGAAAGACGGUCUUGCUGUAGCUUCUCGAUGGAUCCGCGCUGCUUUAGCUAGUUGGUAGGGUAAAGGCUUACCAAGGCCACGAUGCAUAGCCGACCUGAGCGGGGGGUCGGCGGCAUGGGAACUGGGACACGGUCAUGAGGCCUAAGGUAGGGAGCAGUAGGGAAUGUGCCGCAGUGGGCGAGAGCCUUACGGAGCGACGCCGCGUGAGUGAUGAAGGUCUUCGGAGCGGAAAACUCUCUUAUGAGGGAAAAACAGAUUUGUAAUUAAAUGUACAGAGCGUGACGGUACCUAAUCAGAAAGCCACGGCUAACUACGUG
rnacentral:rRNA from 1 species